GAUGCAAAUGGGCUGAAGACAGGGGCCACCAUUAAUGGAACCUGAACAGUGCCUAACCUAACCCCUGUGGAUAUCUGUUGAAUGUUAAAUAAUAGCAGAGAUCAUGUAAUAAGGACACUCAGCUCACUCAGGAGAGAAUAUCAAACAGUCUGGAAUUUUCCUGUUGCUGGCAGCACAGCCCAGGAGCAUCCUGAGGGAACCAGAGUCUUUAUAGCAUCAGUGAAAAGGAACUCUGUCCUCCUUAUCUUCCUGCUUUUCUCAGUUCAGCCCCCAUUCUUAUUCCAUUGGUGCCUGGAGGAAGUCUUGGUUAAAAGCUUUCUGAUGGAGACAUUGAUGAUUAGUUUGGAAAGAGCCAGAAGGUGA
rnacentral:lncRNA from 1 species